rnacentral:rRNA from 1 species
GACAGAGGUGCCGAGCGUUAGGCGGAAUUACUGGGCGUAAAGCGUGCGUAGACGGCUAUCUAAGUCGGGUGUGAAAGCCCCGGGCUCAACCUGGGAAUUGCAUUCGAGACUGAAUAGCUAGGGUACGGUAGAGGGAAGCGGAAUUUCCGGUGUAGCGGUGAAAUGCGUAGAUAUCGGAAGGAACAUCAGUGGCGAAAGCGGCUUCCUGGACCAGUACCGACGUUCAGGCACGAAAGCGUGGGGAGCAAACAGG